rnacentral:rRNA from 1 species
AGUUUUGAGCUAAAUAUGUUUAUAAUAUUAGUUUAUAUAUGUGAGAUGUUGCAAAAUCUAAUUAAAAAAUAUAUUUAGGGGUGAUAGGCUAAUCAAAAACUAGGAUAUCUUGAAUCUAAUAAAAUGUAUAUAGUACUCAUCAGACAAUUAAAAAGUGAUUAGGCUUUUUGAAAGUAUUAAUUUAAAUUUCUAUAUGUAACUAUAAUAUAAAAAUUAAGUGUAAAAAUAUUUAAAUAUUUAUGUAUUAAAGCUUAUAAUCAAAGUAAUUAGAGACAUUGGUUAAACAACAUAAAUUGUAAAUAAUGUAAAUAUUAGUAUAAUAUUAUAUAUUUAUUUAAUGAACUCGGCAAUCAAUGCUUUUCAACUGUUUAUCAAAAACAUAACUAUAUGAAUUAAAUAUAUAGCAUUUUCUGCUCAAUGAUAUUAAUUAAAUAGCCGCAGUAUACUGACUGUGCAAAGGUAGCAUAAUCAAUUGACUUAUAAUUGAAGUCUGGAAUGAAGGAAAGUAAUUGGAAAGCUACUAUAUAUUUUAAAUAUAUAUAACUUGUUUAUGAAGUGCAAAUACUUCUAUAUAAAUAAAAGACGAGAAGACCCUAUGAAAAUUUUAGAAAUAAAGAUUACUUUCUUAGAAAUUUUUUGUUGGGGCGACAUAGUAGCAUUUUCAAACCUACUUAUAUUUUUACUAGCACUUAAUAUAUUGUUUGAAAAAUUUACUCUAGGGAUAACAGCAUAAUUUUUAAUAGUUUAUGACCUCGAUGUUGGACUAGGAAAUAAGAAAUUUAAAAGGUUUUUUAUAUAGCUCUGUUCGAGCACAAACUCCUACAUGAUC